CGGAAAGUAAAUAAAAGUAGUGCGAGUGCGGAAAAUAAAUGAAAGAAGUGCGAGUGCGGAAAGUAAAUAAAAGUAGUGCGAGUGCGGGAAAUAAAUAAAAGUAGUGCUAGUGCGGAAAGUAAAUGAAUGUAGUGCGAGUGCGAGAAAUAAAUGAAAGUAGUGUGAGUGCGAGAAAUAAAUAAAGUAGUGCGAGUGCGAGAAAUAAAUAAAAGUAGUGCGAGUGCGAGAAAUAAA
rnacentral:lncRNA from 1 species